GUCUAAUACCGGAUAGGAACCGUCUUUAGUGUGGUGGUUGGAAAGUUUUUUCGGUGCAAGAUGAGCUCGCGGCCUAUCGUUGGUGGGGUAAUGGCCUACCAAGGCGUCGACGGGUAGCCGGCCUGAGAGGGUGUACGGCCACAUUGGGACUGAGAUACGGCCCAGACUCCUACGGGAGGCAGCAGUGGGGAAUAUUGCACAAUGGGCGGAAGCCUGAUGCAGCGACGCCGCGUGGGGGAUGACGGCCUUCGGGUUGUAAACUCCUUUCGACAGGGACGAAGCGUUAUGUGACGGGACCUGUAUAAAAAGCACCGGCUAACUACGUGCCAGCACCCGCGGUAAUACUCAGGGGGCAAGCGUUGUCCGGAAUUACUGGGCGUAAAGAGCUCGUAGGUGGUUUGUCGCGUCGUCGGGGAACUUCCGGGGGUUAACUCCGGGCGGGCAGCCGAAACUGGCAAGAGUGAUGUAAGGGAGACUGGAUUUCCUGAUCUAGCGGUGAUAUGCAACUCUAUUUCGAGGGCCACCGUUGUAUUAUAAGGC
rnacentral:rRNA from 1 species